GAUGAACGCUAGCUACAGGCUUAACACAUGCCAGUCGAGGGGAAACGCCAUUGAAGCUUGCUUCGAUGGUCGUCGACCGGCGCACGGGUGAGUAACGCGUAUCCAACCUGCCUCUGACCAAGGGAUAACCCGUCGAAAGUCGGCCUAAUACCUUAUGCAGUCGUCGGAAGUCAUCUGAUGACGACGAAAGAUUUCAUCGGUGAGAGAUGGGGAUGCGUCUGAUUAGCUUGUUGGCGGGGUAACGGCCCACCAAGGCAACGAUCAGUAGGGGUUCUGAGAGGAAGGUCCCCCACAUUGGAACUGAGACACGGUCCAAACUCCUACGGGAGGCAGCAGUGAGGAAUAUUGGUCAAUGGGCGAGAGCCUGAACCAGCCAAGUAGCGUGCAGGAUGACGGCCCUAUGGGUUGUAAACUGCUUUUAUGCGGGGAUAAAGUGAGGGACGUGUCCCUCAUUGCAGGUACCGCAUGAAUAAGGACCGGCUAAUUCCGUG
rnacentral:rRNA from 1 species